UACGUAGGGUGCGAGCGUUAAUCGGAUUUACUGGGCGUAAAGCGUGCGCAGGCGGCCCGUUAAGACAGGUGUGAAAUCCCUGGGCUCAACCUAGGAAUUGCGCUUGUGACUGGCGGGCUCGAGUACGGUAGAGGGGGGUGGAAUUCCUGGUGUAGCAGUGAAAUGCGUAGAUAUAUGGAGGAACACCGAUGGCGAAGGCAGCCCCCUGGGCCUGUACUGACGCUCAUGCACGAAAGCGUGGGGAGCAAACAGG
rnacentral:rRNA from 1 species